GACGAACGCUGGCGGCGUGCUUAACACAUGCAAGUCGAACGGUGAAGCGCCUUCCUUUUUGGUGGGUGUGGAUGAGUGGCGAACGGGUGAGUAACACGUGAGUAACCUGCCCCCUUCUUCUGGAUAACCGCAUGAAAGUGUGGCUAAUACGGGAUAUUCUGGGUCUGUCGCAUGAUGGGUCUGGGAAAGAUAUUGUUUCGGUGGGGGAUGGGCUCGCGGCCUAUCAGCUUGUUGGUGGGGUGAUGGCCUACCAAGGCGGUGACGGGUAGCCGGCCUGAGAGGGUGGACUGUCACACUGGGACUGAGACACGGCCCAGACUCCUACGGGAGGCAGCAGUGGGGAAUAUUGCACAAUGGGCGCAAGCCUGAUGCAGCGACGCCGCGUGAGGGAUGGAGGCCUGCGGGUUGUGAACCUCUUUCGCCAGUGAAGCAGGCCUGCCUCGUUUGUGGGUGGGUUGACGGUAGCUGGAUAAGAAGCGCCGGCUAACUACGUG
rnacentral:rRNA from 1 species